GUGAUGUUUCACUACGACAUUUAUUGCAAACGGACGCAGCAUUUGGGUCACUAAUAAACGUUGCCAGAAAUGAUAGAGGAACGUCUAUUGGAAUCCCCAAAGUGAACCACAUCUCGUCCCAUGACACUGGGGGUGGCUUCCCAACUUCCUUUUUCCGUUCACUUAUAAGGGUCGCGGGAGCGCUGGAGCCUGUCCCAGCCGUCAUCCAGCAGGAGGCGUUGGUACACCCUGGACUGGAUGCCAGCCAAUCGCAGGAAACCGGAGUGCCCGGAUAAAGCCCAUGCAGCCACGGAGAGAACAUGCAAACUCCACACAGGUGGGGCCAGGAUUGAACCUGGGUCCUCAGAAUGGUGAGGCCAACACUUUACAGCUGAGCCACCGUGGCUUUGGCAACCAUCUUUUGACAUAUUGAUCCCAGGAUACUACGUUGAAGUGAGUACAGGCGCUUCAAUCAAACAAAAGUAGUGCUUUUCUGCCAUGUUGGAACCCAGGAACUAUGUUGAAAGCAGUUGAGGACCUUAAUUCAGACAAAAAUAGUGCUUUCCUCCCAUCUUGGUACAAAGGUUCGAUGUUGAAGGGAAUUGAGGACCUUCGUUCAGACAAAAGUAGUGCUUUUCUGCCAUGUUGGAACCAAAGAACUAUGUUCAAAACAGUUGAGGACCUACAUUCAGACAAAAAUAGCACUUUGCUACCAUCUUGGUACGAAGGAUCGAUAUUGAAGAGAACUGAGGACCUUCAUUCAGACAAAAGUACUGCUUUACUACCAUCUUGUGCCAUCUUGUAGCUACUAAUGAACCAUGUUGAAGUGAGUACAGGCACUCCAUUCAGGCAAAAGUAGCGCUUUUCUGCCAUGUUGUAACCAAGGAACUACGUUGAAAGCAGUUGAGGACCUUCAUUCAGACAAAAAUAGCGCUUUGCUGCAAUCUUGGUACGAAGGAUCGAUAUUGAAGAGAAUUGAGGACCUUCAUUCAGACAAAAGUAGUGCUUUACUACCAUCUUGGUAGCUACUAAUGAACUAUCUUGAAGUGAGUACAGGCACUCCAUUCAGACAAAAGUAGCGCUUUUCUGCCAUGUUGUAACCAAGGAACUACGUUGAAAGCAGUUGAGGACCUUCAUUCAGACAAAAAUAGCGCUUUGCUGCCACCUUGGUUACGAAGGAUCGAUGUUGAAGAGAACUGAGGACCUUCAUUCACACAAAAGUAGUUAACUACCAUCUUGUGCCGUCUUGGUACCUACCAAUGAACUAUGUUGAAGUGAGUUGAGGGCCUUGAUUGAGACAAAAGGAGUGCUUUCCUGUCAUCUUGUUGCACCUACAGGCAAUUAUAAACCUUUUUGGGUGAUGUCAGUUGUGUAUUUUUGUUAUUCGCUCCGUAAAGCAGUUCAGGCCCACCUUGGAAGAAGCAUAACUGCCAGUGGGACAGUUCUUUGGAUCAAUCAAAUAUGUCACCUCCUUCUACCGGACGCAAACGCAGUCAUCUCCAUAAAGCCAGUACCGUAACUCGAACCAGACCGCGCGGUGACGUAAGUCACGUGGCCGCUGAAGAUUUCUUAAUGAAAGGUAGUGACACGCUUGGCACCACACCUGCCCAGCACUUCCUCCUCCCCACCGACUUCACAAUGUAGAGAACGUCACCUAACCGCUCGUUGCGUUGACUCCGUUGAGUCAUCCGCGCUCUCUUCGUGUAUUCUGUUUCCGAACGAGCGUCGUCGUCCCCCCCCCGCUUCCCCGGCUUCCGUUAAAUGCUGCCUAUUUACGCUGGCCACAGGAAAUGAGCGGUGCAGAUAGAGCGCGCGCUUUCCUGUCCAGGCCUGGGACGGCGAGAUAAAUGGCCAAAGGCUGCCUUGGAAAAAAAAAAGUUGGUGCACUUCUGCGCCGCGAAUGAGCCCCUCAAAGAGAUAACUUGUCCCUGUUCCCCUGACCUACACAAACACUAAAGAGUCAGUCAUUGUUUGACCUAGAACAUAAAACUUUAUUGCAUACACGGGCCAUAAAAUGACAUUUAUGGAUGUGUGUUAUAAUUAUACAAUUAUAGCUCUGAGGAUGACGCGCGCAAUCUCGGUCUUACUUUGCAGUAGUUGUCCAAGUGCUUCAGCCUUUUGACUGCUACAUCUCGGAUGUGACUUCGGCGAAACAGGACUUUAC